CAUUAGUCUGGCUAGGGUGUCAUAUUCCUUCUCAUGUCUAGGUGACGUUAUUGAUGUGCGUAAUGUACGAAGUCGACUAUUUGUAUGUAUAACCUUUUCUUCAUAAACUGCAUAAUCUAAAUCCGAAUCUGCAUAGCCCAGAUCAUUACUAAAUUUAUACAUUGCUGUGCGAGUAAUGUGCAGUUGCAGUUGCUAGUACAGCUGAUGAAAACUCAACCGGCUAUAGCCAUAAAAUUUUUAAAGGGUAAUAGGAGGAGUUCAAUCAAUGGUGCAUAACGAACUUAAUAUCGCGGAGCCGCCUGUAAAAAAUAUUGUGGAAUAAAAGAAGGCCGAUCAAAAAAAUUACAUGCGUCGCAAAGUUUGAAGGCCAGAAAACACGGCUGGAGGUGGCCUUAAUGCAGAGCAUAAAUUGUCCCAUCACGAACGAAUGAAAGAGUUGGUGGAAUGGUUUUUUGCGAGAAAGUUCGGAUUGCUGGAGUGGGAGGCCUUACCAAACGGCGUGUAUAUUUGCUCUGGUCUUGAAUUUAACUACGUUGAUGAAGAAUUCGUUGCUAUUCUUCUACAUUUGCUACAGCAGCGAAUAGAUAAAGUACCACAGUACCCACGAUUUAAGUGUAAUUUUUUAUUUCAAUAACAAUUGCUCUUUCAUCAAACUACAAUACACUGUAAUACUAAACA